rnacentral:rRNA from 1 species
UGGGGAAUAUUGGACAAUGGGCGCAAGCCUGAUCCAGCCAUGCCGCGUGAGUGAUGAAGGCCCUAGGGUUGUAAAACUCUUUCAGUGGUGAAGAUAAUGACGGUAACCACAGAAGAAGCUCCGGCUAACUCCGUGCCAGCAGCCGCGGUAAUACGGAGGGAGCUAGCGUUGUUCGGAAUUACUGGGCGUAAAGCGCGCGUAGGCGGUCUAUAAAGUUGGGGGUGAAAUCCCGGAGCUCAACUCCGGAACUGCCUCCAAAACUGCUAGACUCGAGUUCGGAAGAGGUAAGUAGAAUUCCCAGUGUAGAGGUGAAAUUCGUAGAUAUUGGGAAGAAUACCAGUGGCGAAGGCGGCUUACUGGUCCGAUACUGACGCUGAGGUGCGAAAGCGUGGGGAGCAAACAGGAUUAGAUACCCCCGUAGUCC